GUUCAUGGAUGGCUUUUGUGAUGGUCGUCUCCACUGGAACUGCUAUUCAGGGCACUCCAAGAGUAACUCUAUAGAUGAAUUUUCACCAUGUUGGUCAGGAGGCCAAAGGCUGCAAAACAACUAAGACUGAAACGAUUGCAAAAGAAAAUGUUUAAACUGCAAAAGAGAACAGAUUUCUUGAGGCUUCUGGAAGUAUCUUUUUAUAUACAAUUUGUAUGCUAAUUAUACAUCAUUUGAAUAUAUUAGAUAAAGCAGUUUCUCUAAGGACCUAGUGUUUGGCAAAAUUCGUCCUUGAAAAACACAAAGUUGGUGUUCUAAAAGCCAAAGUCUCUGCAAUGGUCUCAAGAGCUUCCUCAAUACUGAACAUGCCCUACAGUGCUCUUCUGCGUUGGGUCAGCUUCAACCACAUCAGUGUCCCUAGGGCUCCUUGAUCAGAUUCACUUGGAGGCCUUGGCACUGGCCGUCGCCUCUGCUUGGGGUGCUCUAUCCAUGGACACCUAUAUGUCUGAAUGCCUCCCUUCCUUCAAGUCUUUGCCCAGAUACCCCCUUCUCAACCAACUCUGAACACACUUGUUGGAUUUGCAGCUCUCCAUCCUAUGUUCCAUUUGCCUGCUCGAUUUCCCAUAGUACUUAUCUCCUUCCAACAUACUAAAUGAUAUUUCCUUCUUAAGUAUCUCUCUCCUUGGUAGAACGUGAGCUCCACAGGGCGGAGAUUUUUGCCUGUAUGGUUUACUAUUGUACUCCAGAACCUAGAACAGUACAUGGUACACAACACUCGAUAAAUUGUUUUGAAUAAAACAAUGCUAAAAAAAAAUAUCCUUGGUGUUUGUAAUGGGACUUCAGAGAACUAUCUGGAAAGAGAGGUUUCCGGGGACACUACAAAGAUCUUCUAGUAAGAAAAUGAAAACAACAACAGAAAAAUAAUGGGACAGAAAAAAUAGAACAGAGAAAAUGAAAAACAAUUAUGGAGAUAACAAAAUGGAAGCAGAACUGAGGAGGAAGAGAAAACUGAAUCCCCUUUCCCUCAUGGAACCCGAGGAGGCUUUCUCCGCAUGCUCUAGCAAGACCAAGCUCAAGAAUUGGAUAUUCAAAGUAUUUAUCUGGACCCCUAUGGCCUUCAUGUGUGGACACAGAAGUGGUGCUUUUUAAGCAAUCUAUAAUUCAGCAUGCCAAUGCACAGGUGAGUCCAGUUGGUAAAAUUUGAGUACACCUUGAUCUAAAAUGUAAACAUGACUUUGGAAAAAAUGAAGAAAUUAGGUUCCCUCACUUAAAUUGUAUAAAGUUCCUUCUUAAUCAUUAAGACACAUGUUAACUUCUUGUUUUUUGUGACAAACAUAAUCUAUUUCCCAAAGCAUCCUAAUUCGUUUCCCUGGGAGGGAAGAAAAGAGGGCAGGAAGGAGGUAGGGAAAAGGGAAAGAAGCAUAAAGAAGCAGGGAAAGAAGGAAGGGAAGAAAGGAGACAUGUCACCUAUUUUCUUCCUCUGAAAUACCAGCUUCCCUUGGUCAGCUUCCGGCAGGGGUAUGAAGCCACUCUGCAGCAACCUGGCUUCUGCCACAGCCUAGAGCAGAGCUUCAAAAAGGAAUUGAAUCUGUUAGGAAGACAAUAUAUCGGUUGUAUUUCUCAAAAGAGAAUUUAGCAAGAUUCACAGACUCAGACUCUGCUAGGUACUUAACAGCUGCCCUCAGGUCAAAAAAUAAUCCCAAAUAGUUGGAGCGUGAGGCUGAUAUUUUCUUUAAUCAAGCACAGUAAGAG
rnacentral:lncRNA from 1 species